rnacentral:rRNA from 1 species
AUGAAUAAAGCAUUACAUCAUCCAGAUACAAUCAAGGUCCGACUACGGAACCAAAAUAAAAGAAGAACCCCAAAUGCGACAAAGGUCCCCGAUCGACCCCAACUGGGCUCCACUACUGAUCAACUAGAACGAAACAACACAAAGGGCAAGAUCUUCAUCGAGCUCCUCCUUGAGCUUGGUUGCGUCACCUGCUCGGUAACAUCGACACCUGCAAACUGGUUUUGGAAGUAUCUGGUGAGCCACGAGGACUCAGCAAUCCCAUUACCAUGGGUAUCAAGACUAGCAAAGCUUAAUGGGAAAAGAAGGGGUAAAGUGGUGAGGUUGCAGCAGCGACUAAGCAUAUAUGGUGGCUAA